rnacentral:lncRNA from 1 species
CUCCUAUUGAAUCAAAGUCCCCUCCCAAGUAGCCCAGCCCUUGGGUGGACCCUUCCCUUUUGUAUCCAUUGUAAAGCAUCAGCCUCUCCUGGAGGAUCCUGUUUUGGACUUUUCAUUUCCUUGUAGCCAUGAAGUCCAAAAUUAAUUAGAAAUGAAUUUUUGGUCAUUUUGAGGGAAAGGUCUGAUCCUUUUACAAGUGAAUUUACUUAUUGAUGCAACCUAUUUUUUUUACAUCAAGUGAGUCAAUUAAAGAAGUAUAUAAGGAUCGCCUUGAAGCAGUGAAGAAUUAUAUAACACAUUUGAAAUGGAUCCAAUCAUCAUCUUUUCAUGAUUUUCUCCAGUUUACUUUGGCAUUACAAGGAGUGAAGGCAACAGAUAGUGGGAGAAAUCAAGGAUAAAAUCAGAUGGCAAGGGAUUCAAGAGAAGAGGUGGAGAGUUGAACUGGUUCACUAAGGAAGGCAGGGAGGAGAAUGUAGAAAGUGCAAGAGAUAUGGUUUGGGAUUUAACUAAAGGGUCCAGGAAUAAGAGAAAAUGAGGAUUAGGAUUUGAAGCUACAAUGUGGAGUGAAUGUUGGAGUGACAAUAAAUUUUUAUCAAAUAAUAUUUCCA